UAGCGGUCACUGGGGACUGAGGCCAUCUGUCCGGCAGCUCUUUGGCCCUCGGUUAUUCGGCUCCAGUCUCAGUUCUGACAAGUGCCCAGAAACAUGAGGUCCCUGAUUUCUCUCAGUCUGCUGCUGGCUGUCUUCUCCCGUGUCCAGGCCGAUGUGGUGCUGACACAGCCGCCGUCUCUAACCGGGAAACCUGGCCAUCCCCUGAGACUGACCUGUAAAACCAGUGGGUUUAAUCUCGGCAGCUACAGCAUGCACUGGGUCCGGCAGGUUCCCGGGAAGGGGCUGGAAUGGCUCCUCUAUUAUUACAGCUCAUCCAGCAAUGCUUUCGCGCCUGGGAUUGAAGACCGUGUCACUGUCAUCAAAGAGGAUUCCAAUAACAUCUUCGAUUUGAUCAUCAAAAGCCCGAGAGUGGACGACACCGCCAUCUAUUACUGUGCAAGAGACUCACAUGACUACCUCGACUACUGGGGACAAGGCACCAUGAUGACGGUGACUAAUGCUGUAACUACUCCUCCCAGUCUUUACGCCCUGCUGCCAUACUGUGGACAAUCCUCUUCUGGAGGCUCAGUGACUGUUGGGUGUCUGGCCUCCAGCUACAGCCCCGAUCCCGCCAUCUUCACCUGGAGAUCAAAUACAAAUCCCAUCACUGACCAAGUCGAGACUUAUCCCUCAGUGCUCAACAAGAACGGUCUCUACACUCUGAGCAGCCAGUUAACAAUCGCUGAAUCCCAGCUGGGCAGCAUCUAUUGUAAGGUUGCACAUAAAAACAACACCUGGUCAGCCGUGGAAAAGCCCCUAAAAGAUCUCCCGUCACCGUUGCCCCCAGUUGUUAUCCUCACACAGUUUUCCGCUGAGGACAUCGCAAUGCACAAACCGACCACUGCUAUCUGCUUCAUAUACGGUUUCCGUCCGGACAGUCUCAGGGUUGAGUGGCUGAAGGACUGGCAGCCCAUACACUCAGGUGUUGUGACCUCUCCCUCGGUUGAAAACAAUGGGACAUUCAGCACCAGCAGCCGUCUGACUGUCACCGCCAGAGAGGGGAAGAGCGACUCGGUUUACACCUGCAAGGUGACCCAUCAGCCCUCCCACACCAUCACUGUCAAGAACAUCACCAAGUGCCAAGGUUGUGAAUCUCCUGAACCUGUCAAGGUCUCUUUCCUGCCGCCUUCACCGAAACAGGUUUUGAUGGAACCCAUUGUAACGCUGACAUGUGUCGUGGCGAAUGCACCACAUGACGUCAACGUGACUUGGACACAAGAACAGACACAUUUACAGUCUGGAUAUGGGAAACCGUCUGCCACUGGGCCUCAGGAAGUGAUCAGUAAACUAAACAUUUCUACACAAGACUGGACCGGUGGAAAAGUAUACUUCUGCAUUGUCAGCCAUGACGAUAUACCGACUCCCAUCAGAAAAAAGAUAUUUAAGGAGCCCGUUGAGUACAGGAAACAACCUUCAGUGUAUCUGCUUCUCCCAUCGGCAGAAGAAUUGUCUGCUCAGCAGUCUCUCACCCUCAGUUGCCUGGUGAAGAACUUCGCUCCCAAAGAGAUCUUUGUGGAGUGGACUGUGAAUGACCAAUCGAUUGAUGCCAACAAAUACAAGAACACUGAGGUGAUGGCAGACAGUGCAGAUGGCGAUUACUCCAUGUACAGCAUGUUAUCCAUCUCAGCCGGAGAUUGGGACAGAGGCUAUUCCUACUCCUGUGUGGUCGGACAUGAAACUUUCCCACUGAAGACCCUGACCAGAGCCGUUAAUAAAUCCAGCGGUAAACCGAGUUUUGUAAACAUUUCCCUUGUCCUGAUGGACACCGUGAAUGCCUGUCAAUGAGGCUCUCAAUACCAUUUUGCUUAUUUUUUGUGCACCCGCCUCCCGACCAUUGCAUUGUCAGUUUGGAGUCAUGAAAAAGUAACUCAAAUAAAGAUCAUUGUUGUA